rnacentral:Y_RNA from 1 species
GGCAGGUCCGAGGGUAGUGUGCUGUCUAAGUUGUGGUCACAGUCAGUGACAGAUAGAGCUCCUUGUUCUGCUCUGUCCUCCCUCCUCACGGGGCUGCCCUUGACUAGUAAAA